rnacentral:rRNA from 1 species
AGUGGGCGCAAGCCUGAUCCAGCCAUGCCGCGUGUGUGAUGAAGGCCCUAGGGUUGUAAAACACUUUCAGUGGGGAAGAUAAUGACGGUACCCACAGAAGAAGCUCCGGCUAACUCCGUGCCAGCAGCCGCGGUAAUACGGAGGGAGCUAGCGUUGUUCGGAAUUACUGGGCGUAAAGCGCACGUAGGCGGAUUUGUUAGUCAGAGGUGAAAUCCCGGGGCUCAACCUCGGAACUGCCUUUGAUACUGCAAGUCUAGAGACCGAGAGAGGUGAGUGGAAUUUCCAGUGUAGAGGUGAAAUUCGUAGAUAUUGGAAAGAACACCAGUGGCGAAGGCGGCUCACUGGCUCGGUACUGACGCUGAGGUGCGAAAGCGUGGGGAGCAAACAGGAUU